GGUUUAACUACCCAAGUUUGAGGUAAUUUAAUGUUUCAGCCCAGAGUUUCGGCUACUGUGGUUUGAAGUGAAAUUUUGGAACGUCCUGUAUCAGCGGGACAAC
rfam:Onchocerca ochengi, WGS project CAWC01000000 data, contig: 05267_7356